rnacentral:tRNA from 1 species
GGGCCGAUAGCUCAAUUGGCAGAGCAAGAGACUCUUAAUCUCUGGGUUGUGGGUUCAAGUCCCUCUCGGCUCACCA